CCUACGGGAGGCAGCAGUGAGGAAUAUUGGUCAAUGGGCGGGAGCCUGAACCAGCCAAGUCGCGUGAAGGAUGAAUGCGCUAAGGGUUGUAAACUUCUUUUAUAGGGGAAUAAAAUGCGCCACGUGUGGCAUUUUGUGUGUACCCUAAGAAUAAGGAUCGGCUAACUCCGUGCCAGCAGCCGCGGUAAUACGGAGGAUCCGAGCGUUAUCCGGAUUUAUUGGGUUUAAAGGGUGCGUAGGGGGGUGGUGAAGUCAGGGGUGAAAGGUUGCGGCUCAACCGGCAAAUAGCAGUUGAAACUGUCAGACUAGAGAAGAGGAGAGGUAGGCGGAAUGCGCGGUGUAGCGGUGAAAUGCAUAGAUAUCGCGAAGAACUCCGAGUGCGAAGGCAGCGUACUGG
rnacentral:rRNA from 1 species